UACGUAUGGUGCGAGCGUUGUCCGGAAUUAUUGGGCGUAAAGAGCUUGUAGGCGGUUUGUCGCGUCUGCUGUGAAAAUCCGGGGCUCAACCCCGGACUUGCAGUGGGUACGGGCAGACUAGAGUGUGGUAGGGGAGACUGGAAUUCCUGGUGUAGCGGUGAAAUGCGCAGAUAUCAGGAGGAACACCAGUGGCGAAGGCGGUGCUCUGGGCCGGAACUGACGCUGAGGAGCGAAAGCGUGGGGAGCAAACAGG
rnacentral:rRNA from 1 species